AGUUCAAGUGAGUUCGCAUGUUUACGAGAU
rnacentral:rRNA from 31 species